rnacentral:rRNA from 1 species
AACGAACGCUGGCGGCAUGCCUAACACAUGCCAGUCGAACGAGACCUUCGGGUCUAGUGGCGCACGGGUGCGUAACGCGUGGGAACCUGCCCUUAGGUUCGGAGUAACUCCCCGAAAGGGGUGCUAAUACCGGAUAAUGUCUUCGGACCAAAGAUUUAUCGCCUUUGGAUGGGCCCGCGUUGGAUUAGCUAGUUGGUAGGGUAAAAGCCUACCAAGGCGACGAUCCAUAGCUGGUCUGAGAGGAUGAUCAGCCACACUGGGACUGAGACACGGCCCAGACUCCUACGGGAGGCAGCAGUGGGGAAUAUUGGACAAUGGGCGAAAGCCUGAUCCAGCAAUGCCGCGUGAGUGAUGAAGGCCUUAGGGUUGUAAAGCUCUUUUACCCGGGAUGAUAAUGACAGUACCGGGAGAAUAAGCUCCGGCUAACUCCGUG